GAAAUGAAAGCCCGGAAACCCCGGAACUAGAACUGGUAUCUCUUCAACUACCUGUGAAAACUGAUGUGAUGAAAAGGGGAAUUUGAAGGAGCCAUUCCAGAAGACAGGGCGAAAACUGAAGUGCAAUCAGGGCCAAGAAAAACAGAAAUAGCAGGACCUGGAGUUGCAUAGGUUGAAUAGUUGAAUAGGCUGCUCUCCUCAGCUGGCAGGAAACCUGGCAGCCUCCUGGUGCCCAAGGACUGAAAACCUUAGAAGCACCUGGAGUUGGCAGCCUUGGCAUGGUCAGGUUGGCACCUCUGGAGGUGCCCAGGCUUCCCUGGCAGCAUUGUGAGCAGUGGAUGGUGUUGAAGGGCAGCCAGAGGAGGAAUGGAACACAUGCUCCUUGCUAACCACACGGACAAGGCCACGUUCACAGGUACACAAAGGCAACGCAGUUGCUCAGGUGCUUCGGUAUCACAGCCAAGACCCCUUCGGGGGAAGCUAGUCGGAUACUGGGACCCACAUUCCAGACUACUGAGCCGCGGUCGCGCCCUCGGCUCCGUUUCUGCUCCCUCCACCCCACGAGGACGGGGGUGGAAGGCCACCUUCGAUGGGUGCAUCCUCCACGAUGACCUGCUAACAAAGGUGCAUGGAUUUCAGAGUCUGAUUGGCCUACAACAGCAUUUGGCUUGUGGAGACAGUGGUUCCCUGAUGAAAAACUGCCAUGAUGGCCACCAGAGGGCUCCUUGGUCUAGCAGUAACACCAGCAUCUGGGAAGACACCUGUUACCAAGUGGACCAUGGUCUAGUAGUAGCAUCAGUGCCAAGGAAAAGCACCCGCUACUGAGCAGACCAGGAAAGGGAGUCUCCUUUUCCCUGGGGGAGUUUAGAGAAGACUCUACUCCACCACCUCUUGUGGAGGGCCUGACAUCAGUCAGGCCCACCUGCAGUUAUCCAGAGGCCUAACCAUCUCCCUGUGAUGCUGUGCUUCAGUGGUCACACUCCUGGUCCACUUUAAUGUUCCAUCCUGUACACCUGGCUCUGCCUUCUAGAUAGUAGGAGAAUUACUGAAAGUAUUAAAAGUCUCUGAAAUGCAGAAAUAA
rnacentral:lncRNA from 1 species